rnacentral:pre_miRNA from 1 species
UUAGUACUCCCUCCGUCCGGAAAUACUUGUCAUCAAAAUGAAUAAAAAGGGAUGUAUCUAGAUGUAUUUUAGUUCUAGAUAUAUCCCUUUUUAUCUAUUUUGAUGACAAGUAUUUUCGGACGGAGGGAGUACUAC